CUACGGGGCGCUGCAGUGGGGAAUAUUGCACAAUGGACGAAAGUCUGAUGCAGCAACGCCGCGUGGAGGAUGACACAUUUCGGUGCGUAAACUCCUUUUAUGAGUCAAGAUAAUGACGGUAGCUCAUGAAUAAGCGCCGGCUAACUCCGUGCCAGCAGCCGCGGUAAUACGGAGGGCGCAAGCGUUACUCGGAAUCACUGGGCGUAAAGAGCGUGUAGGCGGGUAGAUAAGUUUGAAGUGAAAUCCAAUGGCUUAACCAUUGAACUGCUUUGAAAACUGUCUACCUAGAAUAUGGGAGAGGUAGAUGGAAUUUCUGGUGUAGGGGUAAAAUCCGUAGAGAUCAGAAGGAAUACCGAUUGCGAAGGCGAUCUACUGGAACAUUAUUAACGCUGAGACGCGAAAGCGUGGGGAGCAAACAGGAUUAGAUACCCCUGUAGUC
rnacentral:rRNA from 1 species